rnacentral:rRNA from 1 species
UCAGGAUGAACGCUAGCUACAGGCUUAACACAUGCAAGCGAGGGGCAGCAGGGCAAUAGCUUGCUAUUGUCGCUGGCGACCGGCGCACGGGUGAGUAACGCGUAUCCAACCUACCCCGCGGUCAGGGACAGCCCGGCGAAAGUCGGAUUAAUACCUGAUGCAGUCAGAAGAGGGCAUCUGAUUUUGACGAAAGAUUCAUCGCCUCGGGAUGGGGGAUGCGUAGGAUUAGGCAGGCGGCGGGGUAACGGCCCACCGCGCCGACGAUCCUUAGGGGUUCUGAGAGGAAGGUCCCCCACACUGGUACUGAGACACGGACCAGACUCCUACGGGAGGCAGCAGUGAGGAAUAUUGGUCAAUGGGCGCGAGCCUGAACCAGCCAAGUAGCGUGCAGGAUGACGGCCCUAUGGGUUGUAAACUGCUUUUAUGCGGGGAUAAAGUGCGGCACGUGUGCCGUUUUGUAGGUACCGCAUGAAUAAGGACCGGCUAAUUCCGUGCCAGCCGCCGC